rnacentral:lncRNA from 1 species
CUGGCGUCUGGAGCAGCACGGCAAUUUGGAGUUAUCUUGAAUAUAGCCAAAAAGUGGAUCAUUUAUGGCGUUCCAUAUCAUAAAUACAACCUGUGCUUGAUGAAAUGCUACUUCUGAAAUUCUGUAUCUGUUUAGGAAAAGCUUGACGUAGUAGAAAUUAAAGACACUGUUCAUCAUUCCAGCACCUAACGUGGUCAUGGAGUACGCCAGGGCAUUGGGGUGGAUUUCCAAAGCCAACUUCAUCUUCCCAACUGCGUGAGCC